AAAAAUUCACCUAAUGACAUCAUAUCUUGAAACUUUGACAGUAAAAAGGUUGAUGAAGAAGGGGAUUUUUUUAUUAUAGAGAUAACAUUUCUUCGAACGAAUGAUACAGAUAUUGCACAUACCAAAAAUCAUAUUUGUGGUUAGUCGUGCUUUAAAAUAAUAUUUCUUAUUUCUCAUUUUCCAAAUAUUCAUAUCCUUUCAAGUCAUCACAUGCAUCUUUCCAUUAAAAACUGCAGAUAGUUUGAUGAACAGAACACAAUGGUAUUAUUUCAUCUUUUUUACAACCAUGAGCUAAUCUGGCGAAUCACAUGUAUGCCACUGAUAUAAAGACCUAAAAGUAGAGACAUAUACCUUAGACUUUAAUAAUGUAUUCUUUAAUCAAGUAAAGAUGAGGCAAACCAGUGAUCUGUUAUACAGCUUAUUCAAGAGUCAAGACACAGUAAUCUGUGCAGCUCAAGCUUUGCCUUGACAUUAGCAAGGUGCAUUAACCUAUUCCUAUAAUAAGCAGAAACUUUGCAUGGUCCUAUUAAACUGAAUAAAUCCAAAGUUACUCAAAAAUUACUUCUCCUUUGAAUCAGCUUAUACCACAUGUUUGUGCAAUAAAUCUUUUCAAAUGAUCAGAUCAAAAGCAAUUGAGGCAAACAGAAUCAAUUCCUGCAUAUUUUGUGAAUAGCAAAUCAAACCGGUUAUCCCUCCCUUGUCUAUAUCAAAUUUUAUAGUGUUUUUCAAUGGUUAAGCUAUAAUAGUAUUGAAUCUAAAAUACACAAUUUUUCGUUUGUUUACUUGCAGUCGCAGAAUAUUAAUUGCCAAAUGUGAAUAUCACACGAUAUUUACAAAUGGAAAAUAUUCGAUUCACUUACCGAGAACUAACACGAUUAUGCCCGUUCCAUCUAUAAAUAAUUUCUUUACAUCCCUGUUAUAUUCUUCUAGCUUUCAAAACAUAUUCUUCCGUGUAUGCCAACUCUUUCAUGCUCGACAAUUUAAUAAUAUACAGCCAAAUAUGCUUGACGGCAUUUAGGAAGGCUCACUUUCAAAUUUGAUUUUGAAGUCGUUUUGUUCGUUUCACCACGAUUUUAUAUUUCGCGCAAUCGUAUAUGAACUUUUGUCAGUACUGGAAGACGAUUUUGAGUUAAAUAAACCGAGUUUUCUUGCCAAAAUGAUCAUUUUAGUAAGUUGUAGCGGCAAUUUGUAAUAUAAUUUAUAGUGUUUGUUUACGCUCGCGUUCCUGAGUCCCAGGCCCCCAAGCAAAAUUUAGUACGACGGAUUUUUUUUCCAAAAAGGUCAAAAUUGCCAUGUUUGAGGGCCUAUAUCUCAGAAACUAUUGACCUAAAUAAAAAAAGGUUGAAUAACUUGUUAAAUAACUUUUUGCGCUCUUUUCAAAUCCGUAAAGAUCCCACAAGUGAUAUAGGCACUUUAAUGGGUUAAAGCUUUUCUGUAAAUGUAAAUUUUUUGAACAAUAACUAUGUAAUAGCCGGUACUGUGCUGGGAAUGGAACCUGCUGCCCUACAGGUGAUUCUGAUCAGCUUUUUAACCGUCAAAGGUCCUGAAGCCCUAAGAGUCCAUCGCCCUGACAGUCGAUCAAGCUCUACUGUAACCAAGAGUUCAUGUAUAUAAUACCAGUGUCAUCCUGGGCAGUUUAUUUAAUACACUACCAAUGACACCACCAUGGUAUACAUACAACAACUUGUGGUUACCUCUUGGCAAAAGGGCUCUUUAGGUCAGAGGGCUGCGGUAGAAUUGCAGGGCUGCAGGUUCAAUUCAUGCUGACAGGCUUGUAAUUGUAUUGCACAUGUAUUCAUGAUAUCAUUCUAAUCAUGUAUUCAUGAUAUCAUUCUAAUCAAUUUAGAACUUCAUUAAAAUAUUAUUGGGCGUAAGAGUAUUUCAUUAUAUUAUGCUACAGCAAAUUGUAUUUCCUGCUAUAAUAUACCUUACUUGUAGGGAUAAUAAAUUAUUUUGACUCGAAAAAUGUCUUUAUUGAUUUCUAAAGUUAGUUAAAGACUUUUCUUUACUCCGAUAUAUAGAAGUCAUUUUGUCUCCAAAGGAGUCGACUUGACUCCAAAA